rnacentral:rRNA from 1 species
AGUGAACGCUGGCGGUAGGCCUAACACAUGCAAGUCGAACGGCAGCACAGUAAGAGCUUGCUCUUACGGGUGGCGAGUGGCGGACGGGUGAUGAAUACAUCGGAAUCUACUUUUUCGUGGGGGAUAACGUAGGGAAACUUACGCUAAUACCGCAUACGACCUACGGGUGAAAGCAGGGGAUCUUCGGACCUUGCGCGAUUGAAUGAGCCGAUGUCGGAUUAGCUAGUUGGCGGGGUAAAGGCCCACCAAGGCGACGAUCCGUAGCUGGUCUGAGAGGAUGAUCAGCCACACUGGAACUGAGACACGGUCCAGACUCCUACGGGAGCAGCAGUGGGGAAUAUUGGACAAUGGGCGCAAGCCUGAUCCAGCCAUACCGCGUGGGUGAAGAAGGCCUUCGGGUUGUAAAGCCCUUUUGUUGGGAAAGAAAAGCAGCAGGUUAAUACCCCGCUGUUCUGACGGUACCCAAAGAAUAAGCACCGGCUAACUUCGUG